rnacentral:rRNA from 1 species
CCUACGGGUGGCAGCAGUGGGGAAUAUUGGGCAAUGGAGGCAACUCUGACCCAGCAACGCCGCGUGAGUGAUGAAGGUCUUCGGAUUGUAAAAUUCUUUAAGUGGGGACGAAGAAAGUGACUGUACCCACAGAAUAAGCCUCGGCUAACUACGUGCCAGCAGCCGCGGUAAUACGUCGGAGGAAAGCGUUAUCCGGAAUGACUGGGCGUAAGGGGUGCGUAGGUGGUUUGACAAGUUAGUGGCGUAAUUCCGGGGCUCAACUUCGGAACUACUACUAAGACUGUUGUGCUUGAGUGCAGGAGAGGUGAGUGGAAUUCCUGGUGUAGCGGUGGAAUGCGUAGAUAUUAGGAGGAACACCAGCGGCGAAGGCGAUUCACUGGACUGUGACUGACGCUGAGGCACGAAAGCGUGGGGAGCAAACAGGAUUAGAUACCCGGGUAGUC